GUACAACUGAAUGCAUUCAACUGAAAUAUAAAUAUCUUGCUAUGCAUACUUUAUUAGUUUUCAUUGCUAACUAUGGCUGUGUAGCUAAACAGUUGCCAACCCAUUCAUAGAUGCUAAUUACCCUUGGUGCCUAUUGACGAUAGUAUCUUCUGGUCAGAGGAGUUUUGUUAAUUAAGAGUCCUGACGCUUGUUCUGAACAUUAAAACAUAUCGCUUGAGGUACAGUUUUGGAACCAUAAGGAACAUAAGGAUCGUUUGAUAUCAGCUAAAUGUUUUUUUCAAAAAACACAAGGUAAAAUUAUUACACACCUUGAUAUGGUUAGGGUUAGGGUAAGGGUUCCCAUCCGGCCAUAUUUUCAUGUUACAGUGCUUGUUUACGGAAAACAGAGGCAUACCUAUGCUAAUUAGCUAGCUGCGUCUCCGAAUAACUGUAUGGAAAUGGAAAAAGGACGCCACAAAUAUGUUGUCCACGAAAAUGGGGUAAAACCGGUCAAAACACUACACAUAAGAAGAACCUGCUCUCCUCCACCAGUACAAGGAGAUGAAUUCAGGUGUCCGUCUCAAACUUGGGCGUACCUGGAACUACUGCC
rnacentral:lncRNA from 1 species